rnacentral:miRNA from 1 species
AAUCAGGAUGUUUCCACAGAGC